rnacentral:rRNA from 1 species
AUUGAACGCUGGCGGCAUGCCUUACACAUGCAAGUCGAACGGCAGCGCGGGAGCAAUCCUGGCGGCGAGUGGCGAACGGGUGAGUAACAUAUCGGAACGUGCCCAAGAGUGGGGGAUAGCCCGGCGAAAGCCGGAUUAAUACCGCAUACGAUCUAAGGAUGAAAGCGGGGGAUCGCAAGACCUCGCGCUCCUGGAGCGGCCGAUAUCUGAUUAGCGAGUUGGUGGGGUAAGAGCCUACCAAGGCGACGAUCAGUAGCUGGUCUGAGAGGACGACCAGCCACACUGGGACUGGGACACGGCCCAGACUCCUACGGGAGGCAGCAGUGGGGAAUUUUGGACAAUGGGGGCAACCCUGAUCCAGCAAUGCCGCGUGAGUGAAGAAGGCCUUCGGGUUGUAAAGCUCUUUUGUCCGGAAAGAAAUCCGCUGGGAUAAUACCCCAGCGGGAUGACGGUACCGUAAGAAUAAGCACCGGCUAACUACGUGCCAGCCGCCGCAGUAAUAC